UAAGAACUCUGAAAAAGAAUCAGCUCUGAGGAUUCGCCAGCCUAACGUAGAGGUGGAGGAAGACGCAGAUCCUAAAAGAAGAGAGACAGUAGAGACAGCAAGGUUUCUCACCUAUGGGAAACAGCAGAGAUUUGGGGGAUUUUCAAGCCAACUAUAAAGCAUACAACCAGCUUCUGAUUCAAUCUCUACAUAAAGUUUCAGAGGAAAUGAUGACACACAACAGGGAAAGCACGGUGGAAUGAGAACU
rnacentral:lncRNA from 1 species